ACACGGGACAGAAGCUGAAACCUGCGCUCUCCAGCACCCCAGAAUCCGAUGCAGCUGGCACCACGGGGCACUGCAGGACAGCCCAGGAGACAGAUCUCCCCCUGACCAGCCUAGGCUGGGCUUCCAUCCCCUCACCCCAGCCCCUCUCCUAAACAGGAGCAUUCAGGGGUUUUGGCCACCAGGUGGGUCCAGACCGACAGGGCAAUUCGAAAAUCAGCGACUGCUCUAGACUUUCAGUCCUAGAGUUUCCACUGUGGCUGGAAGGCGGCAGGGAAAAUGCCGGCAGAUGCAGCCCGAGGGGAUGGGCAUGGCAACCAUGGGAAGUGGGGGGCCCAGCUCCCGAGAGCCUUCAGACAAGUCAAUCAGACACAGCUCCGGAUGCCCUGGGGGGUCCAGCUACAGCGGGGACAGAUCAGCGUCAGGUCCAGGACACGUGAGGCUGGGGGAUGGGGAAAUCCUAGGACUUUUCUCCUCAGGGACGGUAGAGUUUGCAUGUUGACCCAAGGGCGUUUCUGGUCAUCCUCCUCUUUCUAAGGAGGCUGUUCCUCUGCCUAGACAGACUGUGUCUCAUGUCAGGGGCUACACAAGGAGGGCAGCUUGCCACUGGCUCAGCACAGCUUCUGGGGCUCACACUGGGGCAAAACUGUUCAAGAAAGCCACCAAUGACUCAAUCCAUCCUGCUCCGCCCAAGGGAUCCAGCCCCAUAGCACUGCGGGCAAAGUGCAGUCAUUACAGCUUUGGUUUAGAGUCAGGGUUCACUGUUCCAGAUCUACGUGGCAAGCCCUAAAAACCAGGGCUGGGAGCGGUGGAAGGAUGCCAGUCGGCUCUGCGGGGUGGCUUAGAGCAACGAGAGAGAGAGAGAGAGAGAGAGAGUAAAGGAGAUGCUAGUCAGACCCUUCCUCUCCAUCCUAUAGUGAGAAUGACUGAGGGGUUGUGUAAAGGCUGGUGAAGCCGGAACAAAAGAGCAACCUGUGGCACUGGGCGGUGCAGAAGGCCAGGAAUCCAAUAGCAACCACUAGUUCCCAUCUAGCACUUUCCAUCCUUAGAUCUUAAGGUACUUCACCAAGGAAGCCGGUAUCAUUAACCCCCAUUUUACAGAUGGGGAAACAGAGGCAGAGAGGGGAAGUAACUUACCCAGGGGGCCGGUGGCAGAACCAGGGACUGAGCCCAGGCCUCAAGUCCCAAUCCACUAGGCUGCACUGCCUCCCCCAUACAGUGUCUGGAUCAUCGCAUGACCUUGCUAGUGCUGCUCAGACAGGGUAUGGAAGAGAUAAACACACUAGAAGGCGGGGGAGGGAAGGGGGGAGAGUCAUCAUGUGAUUGCUGCAGGGGUCUACAUUCCCUGCUAGGACUGGUAGUGGGGAGAGAUGUAUAUUGGGGCUGGUAAUAGCACAGAAGUGACAACAGGGCAAUGGAUUUAAAAGCUGAGUUAAUAAAAAAAAUUCUAGGUUAUUAUUUUUCGGUAGUACCAGCAGAAACAGGGCAGUACCACAACGCAGCCUCCAGAUCUGAUUUACACACUUGUUGCCCUGUCCCCUCCUCUCCAUGAUAUUCCAGUCGUAAACAAAAAGAAGUCCCACUGGGGAACGAAUCCUGGUUACGGUACCAGCAAGCUCUUUCUAAAGCUGCAACAUCUUGGGUGGAACAGCAGGACUGCUCCUUGCAAAGCCACCCCGCCCCCUCCAAAAUCCACAAACAAUCAAAACACAGAGAGAGCUGCCCUGAGAGAAAAGGACGCCCUGCCCACUCCGGGACAGCAGAUGGGAGGUGAGCGGGAGGGAGGGUGUGUCGGGGGGAAGAGAGACAGAAGGUCCAUAGCAAAGCAAAACAUCCCUGCUCUAUUGUGGAGUGCGGACAGCGGCGUUCUCGUUCGAAUUACAGAGCACGAGGCAAGGGCUGGGGAAAGAGGGCAGCUUUUCACAGGCACAGCAUUGCCUAGAUGCAGAGGUGAUAUGGAACUAUUUCACGGACGUCGGGCAUCACAUGGGGACCCAAGGCUAACACUACUGCGCUCAGAGCGGGAGAAAGCACAGGGCAGCGCUGAAUUUUGAGCUGCUUACAUCCCAAAAGGGGUGUAAGCUGCCUGGGAGAGUUUUAAUGUCCAGUCAGACAGCUGUGUAUGUGUGUCUAGAAGUCACAGAGACUUAAGCCUUCUGCUGGAUUCAGAGAGCCCGAGUGGCAGACACACAGAAAUACAAGGUCAGGGUAGACAAGGCUGUCACGGAUCGUCUCCAUGUUCGCAUUCUGCCACUGUGGCAACGAGGCAGCAGGCAGACGCUGUACGUACCAUCACUCACCAGAGGACAGAGAAAGUGCAGGAGGGCCUCUCCUCCCCCCGCCGCACACCAGCAGCUGAGACAAACUGAAAUUAACAUACAGCAUGUUUCUGGAUGGCUGACAGCUGAGAGGGGCCCCUUGUUAAACACAACCAAUGCAUCAAGUCAGUCAAGGGAAAGCUCGAGUUUGGUAAUAAUCUAGCACAAUCAGGCAGGGAUCUACAUCAUAUCGAAGCAGCAAAGCUCCAAGCAGCUGCCUUUGUUUUAAAGGUGACCUGCACAUGGGAACAAAUUGCCUUUUCCCCGAUUUUUCUCCUUUGUCCGGCCGCCCCCCUUGCAAUUCUGCUAAUUUUUAAAGCCGGAAAUAUUAAGCCUGAUCAUCCCUUGAUUGUGCUAGAUGAUGGAGACGGGCCGAUGACGAGCCUUGUCAAUGGAAAGACAGUUCUCUCAAGUGUUUGAGUUUAUUGGCCAUUGUCUCAAACAAAAAGUUUUAAACAUCUGAAACAAAAGUCACUUUCGCCUCUGAAUCUGGUGUCAUUUCUUCAGCAUCGGCAACAUCAUCAGUUUGCCAAUUCUCCAUAGGGUCUUGGAGAGCAGACAAAACCAGAGUUUGUCUACAUGAGGACAUCCAGGAAAAUUAAUCCCAAUUAACUUUUAGGUGGAUUAGCUAAAUUGCAUCAGACCCAUUUGUACAGCCCUGGAAAUCCACAGAUACCCACAUUUUAUCCAUAGAUAUCUGCAUCUGCGGAUGCAGUUGUAUUACCAAUCAUCUUUGCAGAUCGGUUGCAGAUCCACAUUUUUGUAUCUGCGCAGGGCUCUAUCCUCAUGGAUGCUUUAAAUUCAGACAUAAAGGGACUUGAAUUCAUUUGAUCUUAAUUCAUUUCCACAUCAAAUUAACGUCAACCAAUUGAAGGCCACUAACUCGGAGUGAGAUUGCUCACAUGGGGAUGUAAUUCAGUUUAACGAAAGGUGUGAAUUUGAAGUGGAUUCGUUCCUUUGAUUAAUUUUCCUGAUGUUAUGGUCCUGCCUACACUUCAGACUACGGGGAGUGUGAACUGCAGAGCGUGCUGAGGUAUUGCACUCUAGUUACCCCCAAUAUGAACUAAAAGGUACCUACUUUGCAUUAAUGCAGAGGACCGUGUUAGUGCAAACGAGGUACCUUUUAGUUCCCACCAGAAAUAUCAGCACAAUACUUCGGUUUGUUCUACAAUUCACAUCCCCACAGUCUGCCCUGUGGCCAAGUGUAGAUGUACCUAAGAGUCCUCACAUCAAGAAACCCCAGUGAACGAACAAAACUAGAAAACAAAGUCCCUAGAGGCCUUCCUUAUGUAUCUAAGGGCACAAAGCCAGCAUGCUCCCCCAGCCAUCGGUCACCUUUCAAAGCAAGAUUAUGGCCACAAUGGUCACAUUAUCUGACAGACACACACUAGAAUUUGCAUCAGUGAAGUCAGCAGACAUGACUCGGAGCCAGACGGGGUUACAUUUGCACGAAGCUGGGGUUACUUGAUGAAGGAGACUCCAUUUCCCUUUCAACCACUUCCCUCAGCAAGCGCCAGGGGUAAUGGAACAUUUCUCUGCUACUUCUGCCUCCAUCAUACAGGUGGAUCGAAGACAUCCCUGUCUCAG